AUUGAACGCUGGCGGCAGGCCUAACACAUGCAAGUCGAACGAGUGGCGGACGGGUGAGUAAUGUAUGGGAACCUGCCUGAUGGAGGGGGAUAACUACUGGAAACGGUAGCUCAUACCGAAUACCAUUAGAUGUGCCUCGAUGGGAUUGGUUAGUUGGUGGGGUACCGGCUCACCAAGGCGCCGAUCCCUAGCUGGUCUGAGAGGCUGACCAGCCACACUGGAACUGAGACACGGUCCAGACUCCUACGGGAGGCAUCAGUGGGGAAUAUUGCACAAUGGGCGCAAGCCUGAUGCAGCCAUGCCGCGUGUAUGAAGAAGGCCUGCGGGUUGUAAAGUACUUUCAGCGGGGAGGCGUUACCCGCAGAAGAAGCACCGGCUAACUCCGUGCCAGCAGCCGCGGUAAUAC
rnacentral:rRNA from 1 species